AGAGUUUGAUCAUGGCUCAGGAUGAACGCUGGCGGUAUGCUUAACACAUGCAAGUCGAACGGUGUCUUCGGACACGGUGGCGGACGGGUGAGUAACGCGUGAGAAUCUGGCUCUAGGUCUGGGACAACCACUGGAAACGGUGGCUAAUACCGGAUGUGCCGAGAGGUGAAAGGUUAACUGCCUAGAGAUGAGCUCGCGUCUGAUUAGCUAGUUGGAAGUGUAAUGGACUCCCAAGGCGACGAUCAGUAGCUGGUCUGAGAGGACGAUCAGCCACACUGGGACUGAGACACGGCCCAGACUCCUACGGGAGGCAGCAGUGGGGAAUUUUCCGCAAUGGGCGAAAGCCUGACGGAGCAAUACCGCGUGAGGGAGGAAGGCUCUUGGGUCGUAAACCUCUUUUCUCAGGGAAGAACACAAUGACGGUACCUGAGGAAUAAGCAUCGGCUAACUCCGUGCCAGCAGCCGCGGUAAUACGGAGGAUGCAAGCGUUAUCCGGAAUGAUUGGGCGUAAAGCGUCCGCAGGUGGCAAUGUAAGUCUGCUGUUAAAGAGUGAGGCUCAACCUCAUAAGAGCAGUGGAAACUACAUAGCUAGAGUACGUUCGGGGCA
rnacentral:rRNA from 1 species